CCUACGGGUGGCUGCAGUGGGGAAUAUUGGACAAUGGGCGCAAGCCUGAUCCAGCCAUGCCGCGUGAGUGAUGAAGGCCUUAGGGUUGUAAGGCCCUUUUAUCCGGAACGAUAAUGACGGUACCGGAGGAAUAAGCCCCGGCUAACUUCGUGCCAGCAGCCGCGGUAAUACGAGGGGGGCGAGGGUUGCACGGAAUCACUGGGCGUACAGGGCGCGUAGGCGGCGUUUUAAGCAGGGGGUGAAAGCCUGUGGCUCAACCACAGAAUGGCCUCCGAUACUGGGACGCUUGAGUAUGGUAGAGGUCGGUGGAACUGCGAGUGUAGAGGUGAAAUUCGUAGAUAUUCGCAAGAACACCGGUGGCGAAGGCGGCCAACUGGACCAUUACUGACGCUGAGGCGCGAAAGCGUGGGGAGCAAACAGGAUUAGAUACCCUUGUAGUC
rnacentral:rRNA from 1 species